UCAUAUAUACUUUAGCCACAUUUGGUAAUUCCGUAAUCUUAUUUAAGGAAAUAAUGAAGCACAAUAAUAAUGUAUUUAUUGUGGUCUAAUAAAAAGUUUAUUAUAUAUUUAGAUGGACCAACCUAUUUCUCUAAGGAUUCUAAAAAUCAUUUUAGUUAUGACACGUGGCUACAAAAAAAAUGUUGUAAUGCUUCUCAAAUAAUAUAUAGGGGAUUCCCCCUUUAGAAUUCUAAAAAAUACCUAAUAUGUAAUGUCACAUAUAAAUAAGAUGCAUUAUGCAUACAUGGCUAAUGUACGAGCAUGACUCAGACUUUUAAACUAUACAACCACUGAGCACUUUGUUUGCUGAUCAGUCACUGUUAUACUUGUCAUUGUUAAAUACACAAACAGCAAAUAAAUCAUUUUACGAAUAUUAUAUCAUUAUAGAAUAAUAGUCUAAUUCCUCCUUUCAUUACAUUCUCUCAUUGUUGUAAUUUACCAAAAUAAUACAUUACUAAAUGAAAGGAUAUGUAAUGCUCUAUUAGUGAACUUGUAUAAGCAUUUGAGAUGCAAGAAAAACAUUGGUCAACUACGAUCUCCUGAGUUCAUAGAACAUCAUAACAUAAAAUUAAAAACUUGUGUUCGUUCUUGCAGAAAAAGGCAAAUCCAAAAUAUAAUUUAAACUAGAGAACCUUAUAAUAAACUUAAAUAUUUAAUAAAUAUAUAAAAAUGAUAUCUUGUAACACAAAAUAUUAUAGAUAAGCUUCAACAUUGGCUUAAUAGUUUACUUUAAUUAUAUAAUUCAUGGUACAAAUUACCAAUCUUUUUUUGGAAUCUCAUAUCACCAAUCCCAUAACUAAAUAUAUAAAGUCAACCAGGGGCGGAUCUAGAAAAAAAAUUAAUGUGUGGCACAAUAAAUAUAGAUAAUUAAAAUAUAUAAUAAUUUAAUGAAUUAGACUUUAUUUUUAUUUUUUUAAACAAAUUUACGAUAGUCACUAAAUUUUUACCUCUUAUUUUAAAUUAACCAUACAAAGAAAUAAUAAUUUCAUAAUUUUUUGAUAAUUAAAUCUUCCAUUUAAGUAAUGUUAUAAAUCAUAUACUGCAUAUAAUAGUUAAAACCUUUAUUCCAUUUAGUAUUUUGAUAUAAUAUUGAAAAGUUAAAAAUAAUAGAAAUAAUUGUUAGAGUGUAAUUAGAAUAAAUUGAAAUUUUAAUAUUAAAAAGAAGAAAAAGCUAAUGAAGAAAAAAAGGAAUAGUUUUAUGUAGCAAAAAGAAAAGAAAAAAAAGGAAAAUAUUGUAUGAAAUGGUUAUAUAGCUGUAUAGAAAAUUUAAGGAACAAAGAAAUAGUUCUAGGUAACAAAAAAAAGGGAAAGGAAAAGAUAUUUAAUUUUAAAAAGGUAAUUAAGUGUGUAGAAACAGAGAGUAGAGAUGGAUGGAUGAGAAUCGAACUUGGAAAUGGGUGGGGCAUAUGGAGCCACUUAAGCCACAAGAGCUAGACAACUUUUAUGUUCAGGCAGAUCACAAAAAUUUAUAUAAUCAGUAUGGGGCACGUACCACACCCCUUCCCAAGGUGGGUCCGCCCUUGAAGUCAACAACAUUAAUUAAAAUAUGAAUACAUUAAAUCAAGUUUAUUCACAUGGUUCAGGUUUACCAUCAUCACAAUAUCCACGUCCCGCAGGAUCAGAAGAUGAACCACCACCGUCUUUUUCCAACCAGUGUGAAUCCUUACUGAAUAAGCUAGAAGACGAAUGUACAAAAGCUUGGUGCCACUACUUUAACUCCUCGAUGCUCAAGCCUUCCACAAGAAUAUUCCACCACUUUUUGUCUAACUUAUUUUCAAUUACAAAUUCCUUCAGUUUCUUUUCCUUCUCUUUCUCCAUCUCUACCUCCUGAACGAGAUCAUAAUUCUUUUCCAUGAGGUUCUAGAUCCUGAGUGUUUUAUUUUUGGUAGGUGAAAUGAAACCAUCAGAGUCCCCAAUACAUAUAUAUAUAUAGGUAAAAAGAGAUAUAUAGAAGGAUGGUACAUUGUUUUUAGACAUUUAAUUUUCAUGAAAAUAAUAUUUUGACUAAUUUACAUAUUUGACUGGUAAACUGGCGGUUACUUUAAUAUAUAUAGAAACUCUUUAGUCAUUGUUGUAAAGUUAUAGUCAAUAAAUUACUAUGGAAAAUUGGUAAUUCAAUUGGUGAAAAUUGUAAGAGCAUAUUUACAAUUUUAAUACAAUGAGAAUUUGUCAAACUCAAAAAAUAUAUUGUUAUUUCUAUAUAACUUAAAUAUCAACUGAUUUAUGAUUUAAAAUUAAAAAAUAAAUCUGUGAUAGAAUUAUUUCGUAGGAUUUUAAUGAAUUAAAGAUUAUCAUUUAUAAAUUUUAUCGCAUUUAUUUUUAUUUUCGUUUAUACUUUUGAACUUUUGAGUGGUGCCAAUCAAAUCAACACACAUACACAGAAUUUUAAAAAUAAUGAAUAUGUCAUUCCAGAUUAAACAUAAAAUCACAUACAGUGAGACGAUAAAAUUUAAAUACUCAGUAAAAAGCAAGAAAAUUGUGGGAUAAAUAAAGAAAAAAAUCUGAGGGAAUCAAAAGAGGUUCAUGCAUUCUUAAAUUAAGGAACAAGGUUUUAUGACAUAGUUGUACUGGUUUGUUGAAGACUGAGAAGUGAAUAGGAAGAGUUGACAAUAGUACAUCUUUGAUGAGUAAAAACAGUAUGAAGACGAUGAGUCGACGGGUUAGUGAUAGGGUCAUUGAUAUUGUGGUCCAGGAGAUGAGCUAGUGAGAAAUACCAACCAAAACAAAUAGAAAACGUCUAUGACGAAAAAAAUAUUUAUGGGUUUAAAUCUUUUUGGUGUUUCAAAGAUGAGAAGAGUUUGCGAAGUGUUAUAAUGUGGAGGUUUUUUGAGUAUCUACUGGCUGAAAUUUUUUCGUUGAUAUUAAAAAUCUCAUAGACCCGAAAACUAAUCCUUUUUUAUCUUAGUGAUUUAUUUUAGUUGGUUUCGUAUAUAUGGAAUCUUUAAUUUCAUCUUUCUUAUCUUUUUUUUAUUUGGUAACUAGCCACCAACCUUUCCUAGAAAGUUUUGAACAUCACAACCUUUUUAAUCUACUUUUUAGGUUAAUUAUAGCGUAUAAUUAUUUCUGUAUCUCAAAAGGAAUAUAUCUAGAUGCAAAAGAGCUUAAAAGAUUAUUUCCUCAUAUAUAAUGCCACAUAUAAAUAAGAUGCAUGUAUGCAUACAUGAUUAAUGUACGAGCAUAACUCAAACUUUUAAACCACACAACCAAAAGACACUUCUUUUGCUGAUCAGUCACUGUUAGAUUGGUCGUUGUUCAAUACAGAAACAACAAAUAAAUCAUUUUACGAACAUUCUAUCAUUAGAGAAUAACAGUCUAAAUCUCUUUUCCUUUGCAUUCUCUUAUUGUUGUAAUUUACCAAAAUAAUACAUUACUAAAUCAAAGGAGAUGUAAUGCUCUAGUAGUGAACUUGCAUAAGCAUUUGGCAUGCAGGAAAAACAUUGGUCAACUACAAUCUCCUGAGUUUCAUGGAACAUCAUAACAUAAAAUUAAAAACUUGUGUUCGUACUUGCAGAAAAAGGCAAAUCAAAAAUUUAAUUUAAUCUAGAGAACCCUAUAAAAAAUUUAAAUUAUUUAAUAAACAUAUAAAAGUUAUAUCUUGUAACACAAAAUAUUAUGGAUAAGUUUCAACAUUGGCUUAAUAGGUUACUUUAAUUAUAUAAUUCAUGAUACAAAUUACCAAUCUUUUUUUGGAAUCUCAUAUCACCAAUCCCAUAACUAAAUAUAUAAAGACAACAACAUUAAUUAAAAUAUGAAAACAUUAAAUCAAGUUUAUUCACAUGGUUCAGUUUUGCCAUCAUCACAAUAUCCACGUUUCAAAGGAUCAGAAGAUGAACCACCACCGUUUUUUCCCAACCAGUGUGAGUCCUUACCGAAUAAGCUAGAAGACAAAUUUACAAAAGCUUGGUGCCUCUGCUUUAACUCCACGAUACUCAAGCCUUCCACAGGAAUAUUCCACCACUUUUUGUCUAACUUAUUUUCAAUUACAAAUUCCUUCAGUUUGUUUUCCUUCUCUUUCUCCAUCUCUAGCUCCUUAGCGAGAUCAUAAUUCUUUUCCAUGAGGUUCUAGAUCCUGAUUGUUUUAUUUUUGGUAGGUGAAAUGAAACCAUCAGGGUCUCCAAUACAUAUAUAUAUGUAAAAGGACAUAUAUGGAAGGAUGGUACAUUGUUUAUAGACAUUUAAUGUUCAUGAAAAGAGUGUUUUGACUAAUUUACAUAUUUGACUGGUAAAUUAGCUGUCACUUUAAUAUAUAUAAAAUCGUUUUGGUCAUUAUUGUAAAGUUAUGGUCAACAAAUUACCAUGGCAAAUUGGUAACUCUAUUGGUGAAAAUUGUAAGAGCAUAUCUAUAAUUUUAAUACAAUGAUAUUUUCUAAAACUCAAAAUAUAUUGUUAUUUUUAUAUAAUUGAAAUAUCAACUAAUUUAAUGAUUUAAAAUUAAUAAAUCUAUGAGGGAAUUAUUUCAUAGGAUUUCAAUGAAUUAAAAGAUUAUCAUUUAUAAAUUUCAUCGCAUUUUUUAUUUUCGUUUAUAUUUUUGAACUUUUGUGUAGUGCCAAUCACAUCAACACAAAGACACAUGAUUUUAAAUUCCUGAAUAUGUAAUUCCAUAACUUAAAAUCACGUACAAUGAGACGUUAAACUUUAAAUACUCACUGAGAAGCAAGAAAACUGUGGGAUAAAUAAAGAAAAAAAUCUGAGAGAAUCGAAAGAGGUUCAUGCAGAGUAGUAAGGGUUUUAUGACAGAGUAGUAAGGGUUUUUUGAAGACAGAGAAGUGAAUAGGAAGAUAUGACAAUAGUACAUCUUUGAUGAGUAACAACAAGAUGAAGACGAUGAGUCGACGGGUUAGUGAUUUGGUCAUUAAUAUUGUGGUCCAUGAGAUGAGCUAGUGAGAGAUACUAACCAAAACAAAUAGAAAAUGUGUAUGACGAAAAACUAUUUAUUCUUUUAAAUCUUUUUUUGGUGUUUUCAAAGAUGAGAAGAGUUUGCGAGGUGUUCAAAUAUGGAGGGUUUUAAGUAUCUACUAGCUGAAAAUGUUCCACUGAUAUUGAGAAUCUCAGAGACCAGAAAACCAAUCAUUUUUUUUAGCUUAGGGAUUUAAUUUAGUUGAUUUCGUAUAUAUGGAAUCUUAAAUUUCCUCUUCCUUAUAUUUUUGUUUUUCUUCAUUUGGUAAUUAAUCACCAACCUUUCCUAGAAAAUUUUGAACAGCACAACCUUUUUAAUCUGCUUUUUAGGUUAAUCAUAGAGUAUAGUUAUUAUAUUCCAAAAGAAAUAUAUCUAGAUGCAAAAGAGCUUAAAAGAAUAUUUUCAAAAUUUACUCUUGCACAGUUGCACCGAAGCUUUCUCUAUAAUGCUUAUACAUCUAUAUAUAUAAAGUAAACUUUGUUCUAUUCUUAUGACAUGUAGAAGAAGGGUCUGUUGACAUGUGUCCACAUGUUUUUUCUUUUUGUAUUUUAAAUCAUUUUUCUUUUAGAUUAUUACGAUUUGUCCCAUUACUUUUUAAUUGUGCACUAUCUAAUCCUUCUCACAUUAAGUAUCAUUAUAGUUUGAGAAUCUAUUUUAUUGGUCACUAAAAUUAUAAAAAUAAGUAAAAUAGUAUAAACAUAUUUUAAAUAUUUAAUUUAUUCACAGCUAAAAAUAGCAUAAACUUUCAUAUUAUUAUUUUUACUAUUUCCUAUUAGUUCUUUUACAAAUUAUAUAUUUAUUUUACUAUUAAAGUUAUAAAAGUACACUUUGUUCUAUUCUUAUGACAUGUGGAAGAUGGGUUUGCUGACAUGUGUCAACAUGUUUUUUCUUUUUGUAUUUUAAAUAUUUUUUCUUUUAAAUUAUUACAAUUUGUCACAUCACUUUUUAAUUCUGCACUAUCUAAUUCUUCUCACAUUAAGUAUCAUUAGAGCUUGAGAAUCUAUUUUAUUGAUCACUAAAAUUUUAAAAUAAGAAAAAUGAUAUAAAUAUAUUUUAAAUAUUUAAUUUACUCACAACUAAAAAUAGCAUAAACUUUCAUCAUUUUAUUAUUUUUACUAUUUUCUAUUAUUUUUUUUACAAAUUAUAUAUUUAUUUUACUAUUAAAGUUAAAAAAAAUAACCAAACUAAAAAUAAGAAAUUAGAGCACAACACAAAAUUUAAACCUAAAACCUCCAUUAUCACUGGAAAAACAAAAUGGCAUAGUAACACUAAUUCAAUAGAGGCCUAGAACAGAAAGAAGAUCAAGAACGAUGACUAACUUACCUCAUUGUACCAUAAAGUGUCUUGGCUAGAACAAGUAAAAAAAAAUAAAGAAAGAUAAAAUCUGAAACAAAGCAAUUCCCCAAAAAAAAUAAGUGCGAACAAGCACCAACGCAAAGAACCAAGAAAGCGGACCAGAAGGAGAAGAAUAAUCGGAAGGCCAAAGUCACCACGAUGGAGGAAGAUACUUGCCUAAAGUACUGGAUGCACAACCACUAGCAAAAAGGUAAGAAACACCUCACAAACUAAACAAGAAUAGACAAGGCGCCCAUUCAAGUGAAGAAACACAAAGCUCUCGAUAGAAGAGAAAAAAGCUCCAAAAGACUAACUCUGCACACCUAUACCAAAGGAAACAUGAGAAGAAGAGAAACAAUGUGAGAAAAGAAUAAUAGAAACCAACCACCGUGAAAUCAUAAAAUAAGCUUGAGACCAGAAAUAACCUUCAAAGCCCACAUAGCAUACACGAACAAAAACAUUAUCCAAACCUGGAGUGGUAAGCAUGGUGAAACGGAGAGCUACAACAGAUGCGAACAGCAAUGAAAGCUGCAACGAAAUGAAAAAACAUAGAGUGAAAGGGAGACAACAAAAUCAACAAAAUGUGGAGCUGUCCUAGAGCUAUGAUAGAGAGCAUAGAAGUCAGAUCUCCAAAAACUAGAUCUUGAAAACCAAGACGAGCAAGGACUAUUGACAGUAAGCCAACGACGAGAAAGCCAACAUCAAAGACGACUAAAAUCUGACCCAACCCAAGGAGAUGCAGUUCCUAACAUUAGCCAAUAUCUAAGGAAGAAGAGGAGCAACCAAUAUUGACUCGAAAAGCCUACAACGUUGUGAGAAACAACCACACAACUGGGAACUCAUAAAGUCGUUUUAAAAAAAAUUCCGUAUGAUCUCACCGACAAAGAAGGCGAGGAAGAACAAGAGCAUGAGGUGAGUCUUUUUCCGGUGAUGGUGAGAAGCACCACACACUAGAAAGAUAAACGAAAAACAGAGAUGGUAAUGGCUCAAGGUCAAAAUAUGGAGAGAGUAAAAAAACAUCUUAAAAGUUAUAAUGUUCAAAAAUAUGAAAAUAAAAUAAAAUACAAUUUUGACGUUGAAACCAUUAAUCUUAAAAUCGACAAAUGCCUAAAUGCAAAGUUAUUGAAAUUCAAUAUGCUUUUACAUUAUAUGCUCAAUUCACUACUAACAAGUACUAUACACACAACAACACAUUACUAGGAAAAAAACACACAAUAUAUUAACCUAUCAGCUACUACUACAUAACACAUUAAAAACACUAAAUAAUUCUCUUAACAAAUAAAAACGACCAAAAAUUACAUUAUCCAAAAAGUCGCUCUUAAUAACAAUAAAAUAAAAUAAUGGUGGACUAUCUAAUCCUUUUUCGCACUAACUAUUAUUAUGUAAAUGUGCACAAAGAUUUCUGGAUCGAUUCCCGGCAUAUCUACGAGGGACCAGGCAAAGCGGUCGGAGUUAGACCGGAGAAAUCAAUCAGUCUUCGCCUUAAUCCUGCAGAAAUUUUGGAGCAUGUCUUAAGGUUUUUGGUGGGAUCUCCUUCGAUCAGCGGUCGUCCAUCUCUUCAACCUCCAUCUCCUCUGUAUGCAAGUUUCCUUUAUGCCCCAGGGGCUAGGAAAUCUAACUAUCUAAAAGAGUGUUGAAGGGACGGUCCCAAUAUCGUGAAUCCAAGGGCGUCCAUGUAUCAUGUUGUAAGAUGACUUCCAGUCGACUACCAGAAAUUUGGUGGUGUUGAUUCCUUCAGCGUAAACGGGAAGAGAGACCUCUCCAGUAGUAUGUUUAACCUCUCCGCUUGAUACUACGAUUGGGGUGAUAUUUUGUGUCAAAGAAUCUUCCUCCGACCCCAAAUCAUUGGAGACGGUUAGGAAGACGAUGUUGGUGGAACUCCCGAUGUCUACCAAUAUUCUUUUUACCAGAAAGUUGGCUACAGUGAGCGAUAUAAACAGAGGGUGGUGGUGAGGGGAUAUGACUUUCUCCUGCUUUUUGGCCGUGAAAAUGAUUUCAUCUGUUUCCAGGAGAAAGCGGUUGAAUCUUCUGAAUUCUAGACCAUUUAUGGCAUUUCUAGUGCUCUUCUUGGCGGCCACUUGAAUUAUGACAUUUACUUCUGACACACCAUAGAUGACGUUGAUUACCCUAUCAUGUCGAGGUGGUCAGGCAGGAGCAGUUCCCGCAGGCUUGUUAGUUGUCUCCUUGUUGCGGAGAUUUUUAGCUCUUACAGAGAAGAAUUACAAGAAGUGUCCUUUCUUUAGCAGUUCGUUAACCACCAUCUUUAGUGCGAUGCAAUCUUCUGUUUUGUGAUUGUGGUCACUGUGGAAGUCGCACCACCAGUUCGGAUUCUGGAAAGAAUUUGGUGCUUUCAUCUUAUCAGGCCAUUUGACCUGAGGACUCAUUUGCCUUAGAAUAUUGACCAAUUACGGCUUUGAGAUGGAAAGGUGAGAGAUAUAUGGCCACAUGGACAAUGUUAUCCCUUCGGUUAUCUUCAGGGGUCGGUUUUGAUACCUACACCAGUUCUUGCUUCUUGCCUAUUUGCCAGGCUUUUAAUAGGAUUUCUCAUCUCGGUUCUUCUUGUCGUUUCUGGUUCUUCUUCAGAGGGAACUUGGAUCGAGUCGCGACAUCGUCUUCCCAUUUUACAUGGGCCCAUGCACAGGAUAAUAUGUCUUCCAUAGUUUUGCACUGAUAUUUGUUGAGUUCCUUAUAUAGGUCUCCAUCACGUAAUAGCCUCUUUUGAAGGUUGAGAUUGCGGUGGAGGCAUUUCAUCUUGGGAUGGCUACCUUUUAUUGGUUAAAACAUGCUAUAAAGCUGCGCAGGGGCUCGGCUCGAUGAUGAAGGAUCUCAUAGAGGUUGUCAGUCGUCUUCUCGGGACUUAUGCUCCUUGUGAAUUGCUCUACAAACUUGUUUGGCACGGUUUUGAAGGAGUGUAUCUACCCGUUGGACCAUUGUAAGGCAGAUCCUAUCAAGGUUGAUAUGAGGUCCUUGCACAUAAUGGCUUCCCUUAGCUCUUUUUGGAUUGCUAAAGUGAUAAUUUGUUGCUUGUACUGGGCCACAUGGUUAUCUAGGUCCUUGGUGCCAUCGUACAUCCUCAUGUUGGGAAAGGAGAACUUCUUGGCAUCUCUACUAGCGCUAUCUUAUCCGCGAAGGGAGUGUCAGCGUAAGAUUUGGGGUCGCUUCUUCAGAAUAGGAGGAGCAACUGCCGGGAAUCUUUUUACCAUGGAGUAGAUGGCGUCAAACUUUUUGGAGAACACCCGCUCGAGGUAGGGGGUCACGGGCGACUUCUUUGCCAUUACUCCUUCUGGUAUCUCUUCAUUCCAUCUCGAAAUCGUCGUCUUCUAUGAAGUUGACUCGAUUUCGCCUUGCAACAUCAGUUCCCAUAACGGUAUCUCCAUUCAGUGGUGGAGGCAGUCCGGUAUUUGGGUUCACUCGUCAGAAAGACUAUCAGUUACUUAAUGAAACGAUAAAAAAGCGUAUCAAUUUAUGGACCAAUCACUUUCUAUCAAUAGUUGGUAGAAUGCAGUUGAUAAAAUCGAUUCUCCUGAGCAUAAUAAAUUUUUGGAUGACUUGCUUCAAACUGUCGGACCAAUGUAUUAAACAAAUUUACAGUCUUAGUUAUGCAUUCCUCUGGUAUAGUCCUUCCUUGAAUGCGAAGAAAGCAAAAGUAGCAUGGGAUGUGCUCUGUCUCCCAAUGUAGGAAGGAGGGUUGGGUCUCAGAUUUUUCAAGGAGAUGAACAACGUUUUCACUCUGAAAUUGUUGUGAAGAUUCAUGUCUGCACAACCUUCGCUCUUGACUAAAUGGAUUCAAACGUAUUGGAUUAAGGGAGACACGGUAUGGUCUAUUAGGAUCACAAAAUCUGCAGGAUCCUGGAUGUGGAGAAAGCCUUGAAUUAUAAUAGAUGCCUUGCAAAACAAAAAUAGUUUCAUAAGAUAAAAGUAGAAAAUGGUAAUUGGACCUCUUUUUGGUUUGACUCUUGGUCAUCAACAACUUUGCCCUGUAGGAAGUAUAGACUGUCGUACUGUUUUGCCUUAUUUGCAAGACGGGAGACCGUGGAUACAACCACCAGAACAUUGUAAAUAUUAGCCAUCUUGCCUGGGUCCUUAGAAUGUUUUUAUGAUAUCACAGAAGCUCGUGGCUGCAUUGAUCUAGGGGUCAGUUUGACUGCAACGGUUUUUUCAGCUUUGCUUUCGAGAGUAAGAAAGCGAAACCAUUGUAUGGACAUUCCAAACAUUAUUGAAUCAGCCAUGGAAGAAUAGAGAACCAAGCUUUGAAAUGGUGAAGAUUUUACUUUUUGAAAAAGUUCUAUUGAUGUGUGUAUAAACCAAUUUUUUUCAGUACCAGAAACACAUGGAAUCUAAUCCACCAGCAAGAAAAAACUGUCGAGUGGAGUAAAGAACUUUGGUUCAAGCAAGACACCCCAAAGUAUGCUUACUUCACUUAACUAGCAAUACACAACCGUUUAUCAACCAGAGACUGCAUGCUCCUUUGGUCUUCUAGAACAAACUAAGCAUGUGUCUUCUAAAAUCUACUAGAAACCCGAGAUCAUUUGUUCUUCUCUUGUCUCCUUUCUGCUGAUUUAUGGUCUCAGCUGCUUAAAGACUUUGUUCGUGGGAGCUUCACAAUAUUCUAGGCAGAGAUAAUGGAGUUUAUCAACAACAACAGUCUGGACUUUCUCACCACAUUCCUCACCUGAUACGUUCUCUAGCUUUCGAUACACUCUUUUUGGAAUGAGAGAAACGACAAAAGGCAUGGAGCAAAGAAGGCAUGGAGAAACUCCUACCACUGUGUAUAUAAUGGUAAGACUGGUUGAUAGAGAAAUUCGAAACAAAUGUCUUUCGUUUAAACAACUGGGAGAUUUCAAAAUUGUGGUGUUCUCAAUGUUACUUUCUACUAGAUAACACAAAGUCUUACAAGUUGCAGUUUUCUUCGAACAUGUAGUACAAGUUGCGAAACAUUAUUUUUUUUUAAAAUAAAUUUAACAAAAAUCA